CUUUGGCUCAUGUUUUCUUCCUCAGGCAAAUGCUUAAAAUGGCGGUUUUCAGUGUAUGAUUUAUUUUUUUCUUUUUGCCGCUUCUUUUGAAUCCGAUCUAGUACAAUAAUAGCCCUGCAGGAACCUGCCAUCACUCUAUCCCACAACUGUCCACUAUCAUUAAAAUUUGUGAGAUGGGCCAAACCACAACACUCUGUCUUGCGCUUUGUUUUUGUUCAUCAGUUUUCCUUUGCGGCAUUUAUGUGGAUGAAUGGCCUUAGAAAGGUCAACGCUGAACAUUGAUUACACACCUCGCUGUCAGAGGGGCCUGGGGGAGAGGGGAGCUGAGCAGAGCGAUUUACAGGCUGUCGGGUUGGCUUUGUUCCCGUGUAAGUCAAGUCUCGGUGGAGAAGAGACGCAUCAGUGCUCCAAAUGGCCCCAGCCGUCUCAUUGCAUUAUCUUCAAAUGGCACGUCUGAUGGAGAAGUUAGAGAACAGCUCUCCUAGCUUCUCUCAUUUAGAGAUGCCUCCCUUAUUAACAUGUACAUGGGUUUGUGCUGUUAUAUGUCCUCUCAAGGAAUGGCUUCAUAAGAGUCAAAAACAACAUCAACAGUGCAUUAAUACUGGGUCACCUAUUAUAGAUGGUGAUUAUGAGGAAGCUUUGAAAGGUGAGAAACCAAAUCCUUAUUCUGCCAGCGGCCAAUGCGUGUCUGCCUGGAGGGAAAGGAACUAUGCACAUGAAAACUUGAUGAAUUCAUGAAUGCCUGUAAAUAAAUAGUUAAAUAAUGCCUGUAAAAAAAUAGUUAAAUAAAUAGUUAAUAAAAAUAUUUAUAUUUAUAUAGAUGGCUAGUCUUUUAUACAUAUAUAAUUUAUUAGGGGUGUAACGGUACACGUCGUCCCGAAUGCAGUCACGCGAUGAAUGCAGUUGGUCACAGGCGAUCCACACUCCAAUCCAGAAGGAGGCGUACAUGGUAAUGCAAAACUGUUUGAUACCAGUAAAAUGCGCAGAAGAAGAGACGAUGAUCUAUAUGUUUAUGUAAUAAAGGGUUAGUUCACCCAAAAAUGAAAAUUAUGUC